ensembl:snRNA U6 U6 spliceosomal RNA
GCUGUAUCUACAGAAGCAAACUAGUAAACUGGUACCUUUCAGAGAAGCACGGCCCAUGCGUAAGGAAGACAUGCAAAGUUGUGAUGCAAUCUGUUUUUCU